rnacentral:tRNA from 2 species
GGCCUGCUGGCCGGUCGCGCCCGACGGCACGCGGUCCCGCAGGCCGCGCAGCAGCGCCGGCUUGGCGGGGGCGUUCUCGUCACCGCUGACCU